rnacentral:rRNA from 1 species
UACGAAGGGGGCUAGCGUUGCUCGGAAUCACUGGGCGUAAAGGGUGCGUAGGCGGGUCUUUAAGUCAGGGGUGAAAUCCUGGAGCUCAACUCCAGAACUGCCUUUGAUACUGAAGAUCUUGAGUUCGGGAGAGGUGAGUGGAACUGCGAGUGUAGAGGUGAAAUUCGUAGAUAUUCGCAAGAACACCAGUGGCGAAGGCGGCUCACUGGCCCGGUACUCGUGACG